rnacentral:lncRNA from 1 species
AGCUGUGUAAUGUUUCAUCUUUUUGCUUUGAUUGGCACUUUUUUAAUUGUUAACACUCUUUUCAAACUGGCAACACAUUGCCUCAUUCUAAUCUGCAGUGAGCCCAACUGUAUUACAAGCACUCUCGGGAACAACACACCACCAAGACAUUUUGUAGACACGGUUGAUCCAGGCAGAAGAAAUCUCAGGUUGUGGUGACUAAACAUAUCCUGGAACUACUUGCUUCUAUGUCAGGAUGCUUCAUCUGCAGAACAUCAAGAAAGGGAAAAGCUCUCUCUUAGAUCAUGAAAAGUUUAACAGCCAGUGCCACAGAUGACUUCUUCUGGAGUUCUGCAAAAGGGAUACAGACAGCCAGGUGACAGAACAAGAGCUGUGCUGCAAUGAUUGGGGAGGAUAAAAUGAAAAGAGGACUGUAAGAAUGUGUCCAAAUUCCUCUAUGAAAAGACAUCUCAGCAAAGGAGAUGAUCUCUGCUUGAUCACAGAUCUUGUUUUUCCAGUACUGGGACUGGGAGGUUGCUGACUUCCUAGAGAAGUUUAGGAGUGCAGUCAGCUUUCUCUGAAUGGUCAUGGGAGAGUCAGUGGACACUUCUGAAAUCCAGGGCAAUUUGAAAUAGAAAGGUCUUUCAGUUGCUUGACAAAUGUUAUGAGAGUCCAGAGGGUUAGACAAUAUGUCAGGUGGGAAGCACUGUUAGUUCCAAACAGUUUUACAAGAAAUCUAAACCAUAAAAAUCCAAAUUCUGUGCAUAAGUAAUACUAUACAAUUGAGUCUAGUAAGCAUUUAUAGCACUUUGUGCCUCAGGCGUCUUGUGAACUAAAAAAGAUCAAAGGCUGAGUGCCCUCAGCACUCAGUCAGACCCUCAAGAAGGGGUCCAAUAUCCCUCCUAGUUGAUGGCUGCCUCACAGGAAACACUGAACAGCUUGAAGAAUAGGGCCCCAAAUGCAUAUUUGGCACCCAGUUAAAUUCUAGAGUAAGUAUUUAGUAUUUUUUUAAUCAGCAUUUGCUAUGUCCCAGAAUAAAC